rnacentral:tRNA from 1 species
GAGGGUAUAGCUCAGUGAUAGAGGGAGUGCUUUGCAUGCACCAGGUCCUGGGUUCAACCCCGAGUACCGCCA